GUAUACCGCGGGUAAAAAUCUAGU
rnacentral:siRNA from 1 species